UACGGAAGCUGUAGAACCAGCCAUGAAGACAAGUGAGAAACCACCUUCUGUCUACAGAAGGCAACAAUCCUGAAUAAACCUGGAAAUCUUUGUCUGACUUCAGACAGCUGAGUCUAAUCGUUGCCUUCCUUACAAC
rnacentral:snoRNA from 14 species